rnacentral:lncRNA from 1 species
CUCUUUUCCAAAAACUUCGCGACUCAAUUUCGGAAAUUCCUAAAUUUUUGAAAAUCAAGCUUCAAUCACUGUGUGUGGCAACUAGCCCCAAAGCACGUAUUCUGCGGCAAGCAGAUAGUAGAAAUCGCUACGCAGUGUGCUGUGUGCACCUUCAAUGAAGGUUACGCCCCAAUUUUAAAAAUUUUGGAGACG